rnacentral:rRNA from 1 species
UUCGCCCUUCGGUUGAUCCUGCCGGACCCUACUGCUAUUGGGGCAAGACUAAAACAUGCAAGUUGAACGUUUCGAACUAUGGCGAAACGUAGCGGACGGCUCAGUAACACGUGGCUAACCUGCCCUUGAGACGGGAAUAAUCCCGGGAAACUGGGGCUAAUUCCCGAUAGGUGAAGAUGCCUGGAAUGGUUCAUCAUCUAAAGGACGUUGAGACCAUGUUUCACAGUGUCGCUCAAGGAUGGGGCCGCGGCCGAUCAGGUAGUUGGCGAGGUAACUGCUCACCAAGCCUUUGACCGGUACGGGCCGUGAGAGCGGGAGCCCGGAGAUGGGCACUGAGACAAGGGCCCAGGCCCUAUGGGGCGCAGCAGUUGCGAAACCUCCGCAAUGCGCGAAAGCGUGACGGGGUUACCCCAAGUGCCAUCCGCUGAGGACGGCUUUUCUUUGGUGUAAUGAGCCAAAGGAAUAAGGGGAGGGCAAGACUGGUGUCAGCCGCCGCGGUAAUACCAGCUCCCCGAGUGGUAGGGACAAUUAUUGGGCUUAAAGCGUCCGUAGCCGGUCUGACAAGUCUUUCGUUAAAUCCAGCGACCUAAUCGUUGGGCUGCGGGAGAUACUUUCAGGCUAGGGGACGGGAGAGGCCGAUGGUAUUCUUGGGGU